UAGGGCAAUGUACUGCAAAGACUGCGUGAUAUGGAGAGAGAUGGAGGGAAACUUCUGCCUGGCCAUGUGGUUCUUCACCUGCUGACUUCCUCUUUUCAAGAAAAACCAGAAUGUGACUGGGCUUUUAAAGCACGCGUGGCAGAUGUGGAGUAGAGCUGUAUGACUGAAUGCAGCUUGUGCGCAGGCAAAGCUGCUUCCAAAAACUCCGGAGGUUCCUCUGAUGGGCUGUUAUCUCCUCAGUCUGGUUCCGCUCCCCAUGGGGAUGCCUGUGAUGGAGUGACAGGUCUCAGGCAUACCGUCCCUUUCUCUCCCAUCUCUACAGGACUAAAUACAUCAUUUUCAUACCAUAGAAGCACCAAGGGUUCCCAAUGAUCACACCACAAUAUAAAAGCCUUUCUGGCUUUUUUUUUUUUUUAAUGUUUCAUGUGAAGAGUCAAGAAAGCCCUGAUUACAAAAGUAAAAGAGAUAAACUCUUCUAUAAACUUAAACCCAGCACUAUUACUUUUGGAGAGAGUGAAAAAUGUGUUUCAAAACAGUACUGUUGACUGGAGUUCAGUUGGCCACCAUGUCAUCCCCAGAGCAACGAGGCUGCUAACCUCAUCCACUAGAUAACCCCACUCCCUGCCAAAGGUGGUAAUUAGGGGCCGUGUUCUCAGCAGCUCUACAAAAAUAGGCUUGUUUGACUGGAGGAACUGGGCAAAUUGCAGCAUACAUGAUAGCAGCGUGGCACAAAUGCUGAUUUUUCCACAUGUGGAUGCGUGUACCCAGAGACAGCAAGGGCUUAUUCUGGGAAACCUGCUGGAAAUGUGGCCAGAGCUGCCUGUGUACCAUGCACUAAAGGUUGCAGCUGAACAUACAGCCUAUGUUCCCACAGAGAGCACACACCGCGCUGCCCAAGCUGCAAGGAUGACUGUAGGAGUGGCAGGAUUUCAGGGCCUCAACUUGAACCAGAAGUUAGACUUUGCUAAGUCCCAGUUUGCGCCAGUGCAGCACAGUGGUAUGGACUGCACUGUGGUAAAUCCUGAUUUCUAAGGAUGGUGUCUCUCAGGAGUAUUUUUCUAUGUCACCAUGCUCUCUACUCUUCCAAAGGCUCUGAUAAAAGCUAUUUAUGUGUCAUUUGUCUUGUUUUUCCAUUCUCGCUUGCUGUUUUGAGGGUAUCUUAUCUGGAAAUAU